CAACAGCCAGCCAGCAAGCUAACAUACCUGCAAAUAUGUCGAGACGCAAGGAUCGACAGCUCAGAGCUACAUACAUUGUGCUUUCUUGUGAGCAUCGCAAGGGAAAGGCUUCCAAAAUGAAUGAUGAAUACACCUUAGACCCUCCAGUCCAGAACCUACCCCUCCAAAAUGGCGUACGAAAAAGACCGGAAGUGACAUAUGUAUCCAAUUAGCAUAAGAGACCUAUUGUGCCGAUCGAGACAAGUUGAGUUGAAGAAUACUAGCUGACAAGGACCCGGGGGGUACCUAAACUUUACCUGCUGGAGAAACAUAUAUGCUCACAAUGGAUUUCUCUUUCAGUAGGCUAUAAAACAACAUUAGUCGGAGGCUGUUUUUCCAAGUGCAUGAAAUAUAGGGUACAAAUGUAAGUACCAACUUGCAGCCAAUAGGGGGCAUCAUUGCUUCGAGCUUUGUAACUAUGCUUUGGUGACCAAUUCAAAAUGGAAUGACGAACGCAUGCGUUGAAAGCCUACAUCUGGCGCCUUCCCCUGGCGGAUGGUCGGAUGUAUACAGUGCCUCACAACUUCCACAGCGUUGAACGGAUGGAUUCGUUCACAUGGCGGCGCUGUGCAUAUCAUUGUGCAUGACUCACCCGGACUACUUUUUUUUUUCUUUAUUUUUUUGUAGGUGUGGAGCAGUGAUUAUACCAGCAUAAUUUACGUGCUUUAUCCACGAAUAGAAGAUUGGAUGAUGGUUGACCCAUAAUGGUUCAGGGGUCACAUGCAAAAUAUGGUUUAUAUUGGCUGUUGGUUUACUGUAACUUCAGUUCAGUCCCUCUGAAUUCUUGUAGGGAUGACAACAUUUGCUCUAUUUUAUUUCAAGGCCAAACUAGCCUGCUACUCAAUACACUAUGGCUGUUGCAUCUAUUUUUCUCCUGUAAAAUGGAUUACAGAAAGUAUGCCGGUGUAUACAUAACUGAAAGGUGUAUGAAAAUAAUGCAUAAAAUAUAAACCCUGAUACAUCACACUUCAAAAUUCA